UCCGGAGGGCUUCUGAAUUUAUUCUUUUCACCAACCCUUCCUACAGUUUAGCUUCAUCUGCUGUCAUAAGUUCUUAAUCUCCAAUUCCAGGGGAUCAAGAAGGCAAUAUUUGCAUUUAAAUAUGGAUGGAUCCGGAGCUAGGCGGAGGGCAUCAUCUUCAAACAUUUUGACAAAUUAUAAGCUUGGGAAGACCCUUGGUGCUGGUGCAUUUGCUAAAGUGAAACUUGCUACUCACAUCCCGACAGAGAUUAAAGUUGCUAUUAAGAUCCUAGAGCGUCGAUCAAUUAAUGAUUCUGAGACUGAAAAAGUGAGACGAGAGAUCAACAACCUAAGGUUGUUUUCCCAUCCACACAUAGUUCGCCUUUAUGAGGUCAUAGAAACCCGAUCAAGAAUUUAUCUUGUCAUGGAGUACAUGAAUUCCGGUGACCUUGAUGAUUAUAUCACGUUGAGUGGUAGACUCCAAGAAGACGAGGCUCGCCACUUCUUCCAACAGAUCAUUUCAGGUGUCGAAUGUUGCCACCUUCACAUGGUGGUCCACCGGGACCUCAAGCCACGAAACCUACUUUUGGAUUCGGAACACAAUAUCAAAAUUUGUGACUUUGGUCUAAGCAAUAUCACGAGAGAUGGUCAUUUUCUCAAAACAUACUGUGGAACCCCAGAUUUUGCAGCUCCUGAGGUUAUAUGUAACAAACUAUAUGCAGGUCCUGAGGUUGAUGUUUGGAGCUGCGGCGUCAUCUUAUAUAAUCUUAUGUGUGGAAGGCUUCCUUUCAAUGCAGAAAAUCUUCCUGGUUUAUAUGCAAAGAUAAAAAAUGGAGUAUACACCUUCCCACAUUAUUUGUCUCUUGCUGCACGUGAUUUAAUUUCGCGGAUACUCAUUGUCGACCCCAUAAACCGUUUAUCAAUCCCUGAAAUACGUCGGCAUCCUUGGUUUCAACUACAUUUUCCUCGAUAUCUGCUUAUGCCCACAGUCAUUUCAGUGUACAACACCAAAGAGCAACAUCUGGUACAUGAGGAUCAUCCUGAAAGAUACAUGAGAUCGCUGUCUCCUAAUCAAACAAACUAGGCACUUGGGUUUCAGUCUCAGGCAAAUCCCCGUGAAAUGAUGACAGCUGUGUUAAAGAUUUUUCAAAAGUUAAAUGUACGAUGGAAGGAGAAUGGACCUUACAAUAUGAAAUGUCUCUGGUUGCCUCUAUUUGCCUCCAGUCCCAAGGAUACAAUUAAUGAUGGCCGAACUAAUGUAAAUUCCACAGACAGUCUCAAACUGUCAAUUACGAGUAGGAGCAGAGGGGGUGUGAGGGUGCAACAUGCGGUUAGAUUUGAAAUCCAGCUCUAUAAAGCAAGUAAAGAAUCGUAUCUUCUAGAUAUGCAAGUGAUUCAUGGGACACCAUUGCUCUUCCUUGAAAUCUGCACUAUGUUCUUCGCAUAUGUGGCCACUUAAUUUUGGGCCUAGUGUAAUAUACCAAGUACGCAUUUGGAGCUCUGGAAUAAACUGAAGGAUUGGAGCUAUUACUUCUCCGUCUCUUAUAGGUUCCCUUCCGAACGUGGGUAUCAACCUUUCACUCGAAUUGUUGUAAUUUGACAUAUAAAUAGCUUCUCGUUACUGAUUACUC